rnacentral:misc_RNA from 1 species
ACGAGUGAACUAGAGCUUAAACCUCAAGGAAAGCUCACUAUUACCAUAGUAAAAGCAAGUGCUCUGAAAAAUCUGGAAAUGAUUGGUAAAUCUGAUCCUUAUGUUGUUUUGUAUAUACGCCCAAUGCUCAAAGUUAAGACAAAAGUGAUCGACAACAACCUCAAUCCUAUAUGGGAUGAGACAUUUGAGCUGAUUGUUGAAGACAAAGAAACACAAUCAGUCAUCUUUGAGGUUUACGACGAAGACAACGUACAACAUGACAAGAAGCUGGGGGUAGCCAAGUUAAUGUUGAG